rnacentral:lncRNA from 10 species
GCAGUUUCUUUAGCUGUCAUAUGCAGACAAGUACUACCCACCUCGCCUUUGGAGUGAGCAGCAUAGGAAGGAAAUAUGGUUAUACUUUCCUUGCUAAGGAAAUCCAACCCUCCACAAGGCAGCUUUCUUCCCAUCCCCUUGACCUUUUAGGAAAAAGCCCUGUGCCCAUCCUGCUGUGAUUCAGGAGUCUCGCAGAAGACAUCAGAAUGCCUUUCUCUGAGUCACAGUCUGUAUCUUCUAGAAAAGGCUGUCCAUCUUCACCCCAAGCCCACUGGCUCCUGAGAUACGACAUCCAGACCCAGUGCAGCUGGACCUGGCCCAGGAAGAUCAUGCGGUUUCUGGGAAGCACUGGAGAAGGAAAAGGCUGAAGAAAGGAAGACCGGAAAAGAAAUACAAGUCCUUCCGCCUUGGCAAAGAUGAUAGUACCGUUCCCUUCAGUGUUCCGGUUCUGCUCUAUUGGAUAAGUUCCGGUUUGACUAUGACUACGUGAAAAUGUGGAACCAGACCUUCACCCCACAUUCCAGCUCCAGCUCUACCACAGAGGAAGUGCAAUAUCACCUUAGUUAUUCAACACAUUAUGCUCCUCGUGAUACAACCAGAGUUCACAUCAGCAAUCUUGGCAGCUCUCACCACGCUGCUGACUCACGACUCUCUCAUGUCCCAAUUUCCUGUCCAUUGUUCUUUCCUCUACUUGGCCUGAUUUCUAAAGGCCUCUCUUGGUUGCAUUAAGCGGGAUUCCUGAGGGAUUCCCUUGGCAGUUACCUUGGGGGAGCUCUUAGGUUUGGGGCUGAUCCAUGUCCUCUAAAUGUAGGACUUCAAAGCUCCCAAAGAUAGGCAGGCCCAGUGGGAAGCUGGGAAAUGCUCUCUGACCCCUCUGGGAGGGCUGGCAGUCAGAGGGCCUUUUGGAAAGAGUCAGACCUGAUCCAUAAGUCCCUGGAAAACACCCUGCCCAGGGAGCAAAUGCCACUGUGGCCUUGACUGAGGCUUCAGAAGAGUUUGGGAGCUGCAAUUCAUCCACACACGCAUUCAUUUUCAAGUAGUGGUUUGCAGUUCAGGCUUUGGAGCCACAUAAGCCUGGCUUCAAAGCCACUUUCCAGCUUUGUAGGAAGUCUCUACAUUUUUAAACCUCCAUUUUUUUUUCCUGUAAAACUGGGGUCUUCAUGGUACUUAACUUCAUCGUGAUGUUGAGAGAAUGAAAAGAAAAAGGAUAAAUAAAUGGCUUAGCCUCGUGCCUUGGCACAUAUUGUGAUUGUUUCUUCACGUCUUUGUUCUCCUGGUGAAGCAUUUAUUCAGCAAGUGUUCACCAAGAGGCUGCCGGGGCAGCUGGGCGCUGUGGCGGAAAGAACACAGAUGCUAAUAAAAGCCUGAGCACAGGAUCAGGCUCUGUGGGUAAAGAUGCUCCAGUGGACCAGCUGAACACUUUACAGGAGACUCGUUCUGGCUCUGCAUUUGGACGGCUGAGCUCCCACCCACUUCAUCCCCCACCCGCAGCACACACACCAGCUUCUGGGCCAUUUCUGAGUUGGGAGCUUCUCAGAUUACGCUCAGUGUGACCUUGGGCAAAUCCCAUCACUCAUCUCAGCCUCUGGCAUAUUUCCUAUAAAACAGAGAUAAUAAUACCCACCAUACCAAGUUUUUGUAGUAGAUUAACCAACAGCAAAUGUGAAGUGCCCAGCGAAGCCCAGCAUGUGGUUGAUGCUCCACAACUUCUAGCUCCAUUCCCCCCACCACACCUUCCAUAACCGUGUGCCAAGCUUGGGCUAGAUGCUGGUGGUCAACAGAUUAAAAGAAGCUAGACCUGCCUGCAGGGAAUUUAAACUUUAAUGGGGGAAAUAAACAUUUGAACUUCUAUCCCAGAGAAAGAGCGCUAAGG